AGUGAACGCUGGCGGUAGGCCUAACACAUGCAAGUCGAACGGCAGCACAGUAAGAGCUUGCUCUUACGGGUGGCGAGUGGCGGACGGGUGAGGAAUACAUCGGAAUCUACUUUUUCGUGGGGAAUAACGUAGGGAAACUUACGCUAAUACCGCAUACGACCUACGGGUGAAAGCAGGGGAUCUUCGGACCUUGCGCGAUUGAAUGAGCCGAUGUCGGAUUAGCUAGUUGGCGGGGUAAAGGCCCACCAAGGCGACGAUCCGUAGCUGGUCUGAGAGGAUGAUCAGCCACACUGGAACUGAGACACGGUCCAGACUCCUACGGGAGGCAGCAGUGGGGAAUAUUGGACAAUGGGCGCAAGCCUGAUCCAACCAUACCGCGUGGGUGAAGAAGGCCUUCGGGUUGUAAAGCCCUUUUGUUGGGAAAGAAAAGCAGCAGGUUAAUACCCCGCUGUUCUGACGGUACCCAAAGAAUAAGCACCGGCUAACUUCGUG
rnacentral:rRNA from 1 species